GAUGAAGAACGUAGCGAAAUGCGAUAAGUAAUGUGAAUUUCAGAAUUCAGUGAACCAUCGAAUCUUUGAACGCACAUUGCGCCCGGCAGUAAUCUGCCGGGCAUGCCUGUCCGAGCGUCAUUUCUGCCCUCGAGCGAGUCCAGCAUCUAGGUGCUGGGCCCGCCCGGCGUUGGGGCACUACGGGAAGCCCUGUGCUGUCCCCCGUAGGCCCCGAAAUGAAGUGGCGGUCCUGCCGCGGCGCCCCCUGCGUAGUAUAACAGCUCGCUUCGGGACCCGGUGGAGGCCUGCCGUCAAACCUUACUCUCUAAGUUUGACCUCGGAUCAGGUAGGGUUACCCGCUGAACUUAAGCAUAUGAAUAAGCGGAGGA
rnacentral:misc_RNA from 1 species